CUAAAAUUAGUAUUUGAUAAAGAUAGAAUCUGAGAUUCCAACCCAGUCAAGAGACAUGCAGUGACAAAGUAGGGACUACUUUAACUUUGUGUGACUCCUUCACCUGACUUUUGUAGACUCAGGGCAGAGUGGAUCCAAUCCCGACAGCCAUCACCAGUGAGGGACAGGUUCAGGUAAGUAAUCUCACCUUUAAAUGCCUCCCCAGACCACCG